AGCAGCCGCGGUAAUUCCAGCUCCAAUAGCGUAUAUUAAAGUUGUUGCAGUUAAAAAGCUCGUAGUUGAAUUUCGGGAUCAAUGCGUCGGUCGUGCUUUCGGGUACGUACUGGUGUCAUUGGUUUCUCCUUUCUGACGAGCCGUGAUGUCAUUAAUUUGGUGUUACGGGUAGUUAGGACUGUUACUUUGAAAAAAUUAGAGUGUUUAAAGCAGGCAUUAGCUUGAAUACAUUAGCAUGGAAUAAUGAAAUAGGACGUUCGAUCCUAUUUUGUUGGUUUCUAGGAUCAACGUAAUGAUUAAUAGGGAUAGUUGGGGGCAUUAGUAUUCAAUUGUCGGAGGUGAAAUUCUUGGAUUUAUUGAAGACUAACUACUGCGAAAGCAUUUGCCAAGGAUGUUUUCAUUAAUCAAGAACGAAAGUUAGGGGAUCGAAGACGAUCAGAUACCGUCGUAGUCUUAACCAUAAACUAUGCCGACUAGGGAUCGGAUGAUGUUAAUUUUUUUAAUGACUCAUUCGGCGCCU
rnacentral:rRNA from 1 species